rnacentral:rRNA from 1 species
GACGAACCGAGCGAACGUUAUUCGGAAUCACUGGGCUUAAAGGGCGCGUAGGCGGGCGAUCAAGUCAGGGGUGAAAGCCCCCAGCUCAACUGGGGAAGUGCCUCUGAUACUGGUCAUCUCGAGGGAGGUAGGGGCGUGCGGAACUUCCGGUGGAGCGGUGAAAUGCGUAGAUGUCUGGAGGAACACCGGUGGCGAAGGCGGCAUCCUGGACCGGCAUUGACGCUGAGGAGCGAAAGCCAGGGGAGCAAACGGG